rnacentral:rRNA from 1 species
UACAGAGGUCCCAAGCGUUGUUCGGAUUCACUGGGCGUAAAGGGUGCGUAGGCGGUCGGGUAAGUCUGAUGUGAAAUCUCACAGCUUAACUGUGUAACUGCAUUGGAUACUAUCCGGCUAGAGGAAUGGAGGGGAGACUGGAAUACUUGGUGUAGCAGUGAAAUGCGUAGAUAUCAAGUGGAACACCAGUGGCGAAGGCGGGUCUCUGGGCCGUAACUGACGCUGAGGAGCGAAAGCGUGGGGAGCGAACAGG